rnacentral:tRNA from 1 species
GUCGUUGUAGUAUAGUGGUGAGUAUUCCCGCCUGUCACGCGGGCUAUCCGGGUUCGAUCCCCGGCAACGGCG